UGCGGGAUCGUCUAACGGUAGGACACAGCCCUCUGGAGGCUGGUAUUGGGGUUCGAAUCCCUAUCCCGCAGCCA
rnacentral:tRNA from 2 species